GAUGAACGCUGGCGGCGUGCCUAAUACAUGCAAGUCGAGCGAACAGAUAAGGAGCUUGCUCCUUUGAAGUUAGCGGCGGACGGGUGAGUAACACGUGGGUAACCUACCUAUAAGACUGGGAUAACUUCGGGAAACCGGAGCUAAUACCGGAUAACAUUUAGAACCGCAUGGUUCUAAAGUGAAAGAUGGUUUUGCUAUCACUUAUAGAUGGACCCGCGCCGCAUUAGCUAGUUGGUAAGGUAACGGCUUACCAAGGCGACGAUACGUAGCCGACCUGAGAGGGUGAUCGGCCACACUGGAACUGAGACACGGUCCAGACUCCUACGGGAGGCAGCAGUAGGGAAUCUUCCGCAAUGGGCGAAAGCCUGACGGAGCAACGCCGCGUGAGUGAUGAAGGGUUUCGGCUCGUAAAACUCUGUUAUUAGGGAAGAACAAAUGUGUAAGUAACUGUGCACAUCUUGACGGUACCUAAUCAGAAAGCCACGGCUAACUACGUGCCAGCAGCCGCGGUAAUACGUAUGUGGCAAGCGUUAUCCGGAAUUAUUGGGGGGUAAAGCGCGCGUAGGCGGUUUCUUAAGUCUGAUGUGAAAGCCCACGGCUCAACCGUGGAGGGUCAUUGGAAACUGGGAAACUUGAGUGCAGAAGAGGAAAGUGGAAUUCCAUGUGUAGCGGUGAAAUGCGCAGAGAUAUGGAGGAACACCAGUGGCGAAGGCGACUUUCUGGUCUGUAACUGACGCUGAUGUGCGAAAGCGUGGGGAUCAAACAGGAUUAGAUACCCUGGUAGUCCACGCCGUAAACGAUGAGUGCUAAGUGUUAGGGGGUUUCCGCCCCUUAGUGCUGCAGCUAACGCAUUAAGCACUCCGCCUGGGGAGUACGACCGCAAGGUUGAAACUCAAAGGAAUUGACGGGGACCCGCACAAGCGGUGGAGCAUGUGGUUUAAUUCGAAGCAACGCGAAGAACCUUACCAAAUCUUGACAUCCUUUGAAAACUCUAGAGAUAGAGCCUUCCCCUUCGGGGGACAAAGUGACAGGUGGUGCAUGGUUGUCGUCAGCUCGUGUCGUGAGAUGUUGGGUUAAGUCCCGCAACGAGCGCAACCCUUAAGCUUAGUUGCCAUCAUUAAGUUGGGCACUCUAGGUUGACUGCCGGUGACAAACCGGAGGAAGGUGGGGAUGACGUCAAAUCAUCAUGCCCCUUAUGAUUUGGGCUACACACGUGCUACAAUGGACAAUACAAAGGGCAGCUAAACCGCGAGGUCAUGCAAAUCCCAUAAAGUUGUUCUCAGUUCGGAUUGUAGUCUGCAACUCGACUACAUGAAGCUGGAAUCGCUAGUAAUCGUAGAUCAGCAUGCUACGGUGAAUACGUUCCCGGGUCU
rnacentral:rRNA from 1 species